rnacentral:rRNA from 1 species
GACGAACGCUGGCGGCGUGCUUAACACAUGCAAGUCGAACGAAGAGCGAUGGAAGCUUGCUUCUAUCAAUCUUAGUGGCGAACGGGUGAGUAACGCGUAAUCAACCUGCCCUUCAGAGGGGGACAACAGUUGGAAACGACUGCUAAUACCGCAUACGAUCUAAUCUCGGCAUCGAGGAUAGAUGAAAGGUGGCCUCUACAUGUAAGCUAUCACUGAAGGAGGGGAUUGCGUCUGAUUAGCUAGUUGGAGGGGUAACGGCCCACCAAGGCGAUGAUCAGUAGCCGGUCUGAGAGGAUGAACGGCCACAUUGGGACUGAGACACGGCCCAGACUCCUACGGGAGGCAGCAGUGGGGAAUCUUCCGCAAUGGACGAAAGUCUGACGGAGCAACGCCGCGUGAGUGAGGACGGCCUUCGGGUUGUAAAGCUCUGUUAAUCGGGACGAAAGGCCUUCUUGCGAAUAGUGAGAAGGAUUGACGGUACCGGAAGAGAAAGCCACGGCUAACUACGUG